rnacentral:rRNA from 1 species
UGAACGCUGGCGGCAGGCCUAACACAUGCAAGUCGAGCGGUAGCACAGAGAGCUUGCUCUCGGGUGACGAGCGGCGGACGGGUGAGUAAUGUCUGGGAAACUGCCUGAUGGAGGGGGAUAACUACUGGAAACGGUAGCUAAUACCGCAUAACGUCGCAAGACCAAAGAGGGGGACCUUCGGGCCUCUUGCCAUCAGAUGUGCCCAGAUGGGAUUAGCUAGUAGGUGGGGUAAUGGCUCACCUAGGCGACGAUCCCUAGCUGGUCUGAGAGGAUGACCAGCCACACUGGAACUGAGACACGGUCCAGACUCCUACGGGAGGCAGCAGUGGGGAAUAUUGCACAAUGGGCGCAAGCCUGAUGCAGCCAUGCCGCGUGUAUGAAGAAGGCCUUCGGGUUGUAAAGUACUUUCAGCGAGGAGGAAGGCAUUGAGGUUAAUAACCUCAGUGAUUGACGUUACUCGACAGAAUAAGCACCGGCUAACUCUGUGCCAGCAGCCGCGGUAAUACAGAGGGUGCAAGCGUUAAUUCGGAAUUACUGGGCGUAAAGCGCGCGUAGGUGGUUUGUUAAGUUGGAUGUGAAAGCCCCGGGCUCAACCUGGGAACUGCAUUCAAAACUGACAAGCUAGAGUAUGGUAGAGGGUGGUGGAAUUUCCUGUGUAGCGGUGAAAUGCGUAGAUAUAGGAAGGAACACCAGUGGCGAAGGCGACCACCUGGACUGAUACUGACACUGAGGUGCGAAAGCGUGGGGAGCAAACAGGAUUAGAUACCCUGGUAGUCCACGCCGUAAACGAUGUCAACUAGCCGUUGGGAGCCUUGAGCUCUUAGUGGCGCAGCUAACGCAUUA